rnacentral:lncRNA from 10 species
GUGAGCAAUGUGGAAUUGCUAAAUGACUACUGUGGAAGCUUAAAGAUUUGUAUGUACUUAUGAGCAAUAGGAGAUAUUAGGAUUUUCUUCUACCUUGAAAAACUGCACAUAGUGAAGAGUUUCUUUGCCUUAUUCCUGCAGUCUUAACAUGUCCUACUGAGUAAAGAUAACCUGCAGAUGUACCAGUCAAUGGAAGCGGCUUACAUGGUUUUUGACAUCAGAGGGAAUACUGGGAAUACAGAGGGAAUACAUCAACACUGGGAACCCUAUUGUGUCUUUGUGGUGUCCUUUGCAUCUGGAAACAUAAGGAGCUUAUGAAGUCCUUGCAGCAGAGUUGAAGGAGCCUCAGAUGUGAUUGGAGGUCAUUGGGAAACACUGUGGGUCUUCUCUGUCUGGCCUUGAAGCACUGCCAUUAUGUCUGCAGCACUUCCACUGCUGGAUCUUUGAAAUUUUGAAGAGCUUCUGGGUCAUUCUCUAUGAAGUAGUUUGGAUAUUCGUCCCCUCCAAAUGUCAUAUUGAAAUGUGACCUCCAAUUUUGGAGGUGGACCUAGUGGGAGGCGUUUGGGUCAUGCGUUGGAUCCUUCAUGAAUGGCUUGGUGUCCUCCCUAUGGUAAAGAGAACAAGCUCUGAAGUCUUGAUCCAAAACAGACAAGGCUUUAAUAUGAAAGCAUUUUUCUUUGAAGAAGUUCACCCUGAAGCCUUGGCCCAAUGAUCUCAGAAGAUGAGAGAGAAUGGCAAACCAAAAACUCUGAGUGAGUUUGAAAGUGGAUCUUCUGAAGCCUUCCAACAGUCAUGUGUGGAAUCUGGAAGUGCAUUUUUGAGGCUUUCCCAUAGCCAUCUGAGUGAGCUGAUUUGGACCAUUUGGAGGAAGUAGAGUGAGCAUUUGAAAAAAUGGUAUUUAUGUCAACCAGACCUGGAGUUCAAGUUCACCUUCUGCCAUGUAAAAAAUCUCCC